CCUUCUCUCUCCCCUGGGGCCCGUCUUUUCUUCUUCAAAGGUGUGGAAGUGGGUUUCGUUGCGCGUCGCAAUUAAUCUGCCGUUCACUGCCCCCUUCUCUCUCGCGUCCUUCGAACGAGAAACCCUUCUCUUCCCUCCCGUCCCGAUCUCCUCCUCCAGCCUCCGAAACCCUAAAAUCCUCCGCGGAUUGACCGCGCACCCAGGCCAUCCGACCGGAUCCUCGUCAAGUUGUGCGGCUCUGGAAUGCUAAUCGAAGACGAUUGAGCGCGGAGAUCGAAGGCUUAAUGGACGAUCCGAGCUCCGCUGACAUAUCGAAUGACAUUGUAAUAGAAGUACCAGUAGAUGAGCAUGACAUAUCGAAUGACAUUGUAAUAGAAGUACCAGUAGAUGAUGGUGAUGAUGAUGGUGGUACUGAGGUGACUGGAAAGCUACCUGAAGAUGGAGAACCAUUGAAGGGCAUACCGAGUGACUGUGGUAAAGACUCAUCUGAGAACAAAGAAGUAAUCACUGCUGAGGAUAACACUGAUGAUAAUGAGAAAGAGGUGCAAAUUGAGCUUGAUGAGGAUAGUAAAGCAGUCCAAGGGGAUGAUUUAACACCUAGGCUGGGGAUGACCUUUAAAACUAGAGAGGAAGUUUGCAACUUCUAUAAAGCAUAUGCUAUGGCUGUUGGCUUUGGAGUAGCUGUGCAGAAGACAUCAUUUGCAACAUCUGGACAGUGUAGGCGGGUAAUUAUUGCUUGCUCUAAGGUGGGCAAGGGCAAAACCGAUGCUUGCUAUAAAGCCAGACAGUCGGCAAAAACAGAUUGUCAGGCUAAGAUUGUGGCAAAAGCUGCAGGGGAUGGGUUACUUCAUCUGGUGGAAGUUAAUAACGAACACAACCAUCCAGUUAACCCGUCAACAGCACGGUUCCUGAACUGUUAUAAGAAGAUGGCUGGCUCAAGGAAACAGGAAUCUGUCGGACAAUCUAAUGGACAGGGGAGUUCUCGACCUGAUGAGAUUGAAUGUGAGGACUCUACUAAAAUAGGACGAUUGAAGCUUGCUAAAGGAGAUGACGAGGCUGUUUAUCAAUUCUUUGCAAAUAUGCAGAAUAAAGAUCCAAACUUCUUUUAUUUGGUUGAUUUGAAUGAUCAUGGUUGCUUGAGAAGUUUGUUCUGGGCUGAUGGUAGGUGUAGGACAGCAUAUCAGUAUUUUGGCGACGUGGUGUCCGUCGAUACAACCUUAUUGACUGAAAAAUAUGAUUUGCCUCUCGUUUUAUUUGUGGGUAUGAACCAUCACGGCCAGUUAGUGUUGUUGGGAUGUAGUUUGAUCUCUAAUGAAACAGUCCAGACUUAUACUUGGUUAUUUAAGGCAUUCCAAACAUGUAUGUUAGGGAUCUGUCCAAAUUCUAUUGUUACUGACUAUUCCAAGGCCAUUCAAGGUGCUGUUCUGGAUGUAUUCUCAGGAGCUAGACAUCGGUUGUGUUUGUCCAGUAUCAUGAAAAAAGUUCCAGGGAAACUGAAAGGACAUCCUGAUUUCAAAGCAAUUAAAAGGGCACUGAAGAAAGCAGCAUUUGAUUCCUUGAAGGUUGAUGAGUUUGAAAAAUGUUGGAUGAAAAUGAUUGUGGAUCAUGGGCUUGAAAACAAUGACUGGCUUGCUUCAUUAUAUGAGAACAGGCAUAUGUGGGUGCCAGCUUUUCUUAAGAACACGUUCUGGGCUGGAAUGUCCAUUUCCCAACGUGGUGAGACUAUAAGUACCUAUCUUAAUGGGCAUGUCUAUCCAAAGACUUCUCUGAAGCAAUUUUUCAGCAAAUAUGAUAUGAUAUUGCAAAGCAAAUACAAAAAGGAAGCAGAAGCAGAUUCAGAGUCUCACAAGACUCCGCUUCUGAUUUCAAAAUUUUACAUGGAAGAACAGCUAUCAAAACUUUACACUUUUAAUAUGUUCAAAAAGUUCCAGGAGGAGCUGAAAGCUACUAUGUAUUGUGAUGUUUUGCUAAUCCAGAUGGAUGGGACACUUAUUAACUUCCAAGUCAAAGAGUGUUCAUUUAUUGAAGAUGGUAAAGCAACAGAAAAUAAGGAUCAUGAGGUUCUUUACAAUACAGACAAACUUGAGAUUCAAUGUAUUUGUGGUUCUUUUGAGUUCUGUGGCAUCCUAUGUAGGCAUGCUUUGUCCAUAUUUAAGUUUCAGCAGAUCUUUGAGAUUCCAUCUCAUUACAUUCUUGGUCGCUGGAAAAAAGAUUACAAGCGAUUGCAUGCUGUUGACCGUUCCUUGAAUGAUAUGCAAGUUGAUAAUGUUGUGGAGCGCUACGAUUAUCUAACUAUGCGAUGCCUUCAUCUUGCUGAGUUGGGAUUCAUAUCAGAUGAUAGGUACCAAGUCGCUUUAAAGUUACUAAAAGAGGUGGAGAAAUCUCUUUUAGAUGAUGGUAUAUGCAGAGAUAGGCAACCCAGGCUUCUCUCUUUUGGAAUGAAUUCAAAUGAAAAUGUUCAAAAUCUUUUGUUAGCACAGCUCGGAACAUCUGAGGGUAACAAGAAUUCCAAUUCUUUGCAAGUCAAACGCAGAGGUCGGCCACCGAAAAAGGCAAAAGAGCCUAAUAUGGAAAUGUUAGCUCGGCCGAAUAAGGAACAGGAUUUUCUGAGAUCAUCAUUGGUCGGCAAUGAAGGCAAUAUACUUCAUUCUAAUCCAACUCCUUCUCAUCUUAAUACACAGAGGAUUGAUCUAAUGGAAGAUAUCACCACAGAUGACUUGUCAUUUGGUAGUCACUUUGGCAUGCAUGUAAAUCACCAGCAUCACAUUGGCAAUCAGCCAAGGACGCAAACACAUAAUUUGUUGCAGGAUCAGUAUGACCAUCAAACAAUUGGGAAUCCAAGGAUGCAGUGGAUUUAUCAACAAAUCUUACAAGAUGAUCAAAUACCGAAAGCACCUUCCGGUCGAAGGACUGGGUAGAGAUAGAGGAGUUACAGAAGAGCCUUGGAUCAGUAGGGACAAAGAGAAUACUGUUGUAAGAAUGUGGAUGAAGAUCCAAAAGAAGUUUCAUAUUUGAGGUUGAAGGCUGACAGUCAGAUUGAAAUGGCGCGGCAAUUGACAAUAGUGAUUACAUAAAACCAUCAAAUCUCUGACAUCGCUGGAAUAUAUGGCUUCUUUCUCUGUUAGUGAUUGCCAUGGUUGACACAUUGAAGUCCAGCUUGACGGAUCUCAUAUUAUCCCAGCACUUUAUGGUCAGAAGAAGAUGUAGUUGGAGGCUGAUAUCUAGAACUAGAAUGGUGGAUAUCGUGAAGCUGUGCAAGCAUUUCCACCUAUGAACUUAGUUUAUGUAACCUCCCCUUGUAUUUUCCUAACUAGUUAGGAAACCAUGAUGCUAUCUUCUUGUAUAACGUUGUUUAUGUGUUUUUUGUUAGAAAUGGUUGUCACUAAUGUACAUAUCAAGAAUUUACAAGAGCAUAGUCUGAUGAUGUUGAUAUCCAUCACGAGGUAAUGUGGGAACUUGUGGUCCAUUGCUGGUACAAAAGCCAUAUAAGAUUCAGAGUAAAUUCUCAUUGA